rnacentral:lncRNA from 1 species
AAUAUACCAGCUAUACCCAUCUAUCUGCUGCGGACCCAGUUAGGUGAUAAUAUACCAGCUAUACCAUCUAUCUGCAGCUGACCCAGUUAGGUGAUAAUAUACCAGCUAUACCAUCUAUCUGCUGCUGACCCAGUUAGGUGAUAAUAUACCAGCUAUACCCAUCUAUCUGCUGCUGACCCAGUUAGGUGAUAAUAUACCAGCUAUACCCAUCUAUCUGCAGCUGACCCAGUUAGGUGAUAAUAUACCAGCUAUACCCAUCUAUCUGCUGCUGACCCAGUUAGGUGAUAAUAUACCAGCUAUACCCAUCUAUCUGCUGCUGACCCAGUUAGGUGAUAAUAUACCAGCUAUACCCAUCUAUCUGCUGCUGACCCAGUUAGGUGAUAAUAUACCAGCUAUACCCAUCUAUCUGCUGCGGACCCAGUUAGGUGAUAAUAUACCAGCUAUACCCAUCUAUCUGCUGCUGACCCAGUUAGGUGAUAAUAUACCAGCUAUACCCAUCUAUCUGCUGCUGACCCAGUCAGGAAGUAGAGAGGCGUGGUGCAGGUGGACCAGCUGUACAGGCUUAGUGCGGUGCCAGUCCUCAGUGCCCCAAGCUGUUCCUGUUUCCUAGCCAGGUCCCAAAACAGGUUGUGAAGUGUUGCCAACUCCUAUGGUCAUUGUCACACCUCGUGACCAAGCCCCUUUAGUCAACGAGGAGCCAGCACCCUCCGAUGUUCUGUUACCUGCGGGGGGAAAAAGCUGUUUUUAUAACAGACAUCAAAACCACGCAUCAAGGUGCGCUGACAACGACACUCUAUAGUGGUAGAUAGGACUAACAGGUAACAGAGGACCAAGGUUUUAAAGUGGAGGUAACUCCAGCUAUAUACAGAGAGAGGGGAGUUUCAGCCAUUUUGUUAUCAUUUCAUAUCAUCAUGUCAUGUUAAACAAUAUUGUGUUCCUCAAGUCCUAAUGCUGGCACGCAAAAGGUACAUUUCCUAUAGGAAGGAACAGAGGGGUUCCCACAGAUAUCUACAUGACGUCAACACUAU